GUUGUUUUGGCAGAUUAGUGCAGUAAGUUUAGAACUUAUAAAUGUGAUUUAUUUUACAAACAAUA
rnacentral:tRNA from 1 species